AUCAUACUCCCUCCGUCCGAAAAUACUUGUCCAAGAAAUGAACGAAUCUAGAUGUAUUUUAGUUUUGUAUACAUCCAUUUGUAUCCAUUUCUUCGAUAAAUAUUUUCAGACGGAGGGAGUAUUUC
rfam:Triticum aestivum genome assembly, contig: Triticum_aestivum_CS42_TGACv1_scaffold_578713_7BL